UAAGGAAUAUUGCUCAAUGGGAGAAAUCCUGAAGCAGCAACGCCGCGUGGAGGAUGAAGGGUCUAUGACUUGUAAACUCCUGUAAAGAAGGAAAAAAUUCCCAUUAGAUGGGAGAUGAUGGUACUUCUGGAGUAAGCCCCGGCUAACUACGUGCCAGCAGCCGCGGUAAUACGUAGGGGGCAAGCGUUGUCCGGAUUUACUGGGUGUAAAGGGUGCUCAGGCGGAUUUGUAAGUCAGAGGUGAAAUCUUACAGCUUAACUGUGAAACUGCCUUUGAUACUGCAAGCCUAGAGUAUGGAAGAGAGUGAUGGAAUAUCUGGUGUAGCAGUGAAAUGCGUAGAUAUCAGAUAGAACACCCAUGGCGAAGGCAGUCACUUGGUCCAUUACUGACGCUAAAGCACGAAAGCGUGGGUA
rnacentral:rRNA from 1 species